UACAGAGGGGGCAAGCGUUGUUCGGAAUUACUGGGCGUAAAGGGCGCGUAGGCGGCCAACUAAGUCAGACGUGAAAUCCCUCGGCUUAACCGGGGAACUGCGUCUGAUACUGGAUGGCUGGAGGUUGGGAGAGGGAUGCGGAAUUCCAGGUGUAGCGGUGAAAUGCGUAGAUAUCUGGAGGAACACCGGUGGCGAAGGCGGCAUCCUGGACCAAUUCUGACGCUGAGGAGCGAAAGCCAGGGGAGCAAACGGG
rnacentral:rRNA from 1 species